rnacentral:lncRNA from 1 species
CCACCCCCUCUUGAUAAAACACUCCUCCACAUUAUGAGUGAGACUAUAGUAAGUGAUAUGAAGGAAGAAGAGAUGAAAGGCAAGGAAACAGAGACAUGGCACAAACCAAAGAAUGGAAGUGUGUUUCCUCCCAAGAGACGUUCUGUUAAGAAGAUGAUAUGGGAUCAUUUCAAGCUAGCUCCUUUUUCUUCUUCUAACACGGUUUCAUCACCUUCUCACUCUAACACGGUUCACCCUCAUAAAUCAUAUAUAUAACCAAACAUACUACUUCUAAAUACUCCCAUUUUCUUUAUGUUGUUUAUUAAAUGUAAUCGAGGUUAUAUCAUAUAUUAUUAAUAAUCCCCCACUUCUUCAUGGGGUUUGUGUUUGUUCUCAUCAAUCAAUGUGUGCUUUCAGCUUGUGAAAUAAACAAACGAUCAAAAUCAAGUCAAAUUCAGUACUUACAAGGUUUUUCAAUUGCAAUUAGAGGAAAAUUAUGCUAUUUUUUCUCUAAAACUUUC